AUAUGUUGUAUGGUUGCGCUGAGUAAUAACAUGACAUAUUGCAUGGAAUUUGCUGUGUUAAACCGCUGAGGCAAACAUAGGAUACUUAAGAAGAUAUUAUAGGUUGCAUGACCGCUGAGGCGUGUAAUUCUGGAUUCGUUUCAUAAUACUUGAUUGGCAUGAUUUUUAAGUUGUAUAGCUUGAAACAACCUGUUUACAUGAUUUUAUAUGUUUGUGUGAGUUUGAAGUCGAUCACUUGUAUAUAAUAUUUUUAUUUUCUGUUUUAGUAGGAACGUAGAACAAAUCCUAAAAUCCCCCCCUUUUAUCUAUUGUACCAUUUGUAUAUUUCUAACUGAAUACUUGUAAAUACAUAUAGUUACUGAUUCAUUAACCAUGACUGCAGGAGCAUCCUUUAAGUCCCCGGAUUGAUCGAAUCCUAUUUGCCAAUACUACAUACUGAUAACAAAAGAAUUUUUAAAUUACACGCCCGGUUUCGAGCACGUCAGCAAUUUCAUUCAAACAUAUCCAGUUGUUCAAGUUUGUCAACGCAUGACUAUAUGGAGAGUCCAUAAAGCAUGCUAGGAAUAUCAAAUGUGGUUCAGAGUUCCACGGAUGUUAUUAUAGGAUACUAUUUCCUUCCCAUUGUUUAUCUGAAUAUCUAAUGUGUUUGCUCAUUUCUUGUAGAGAGCGGUGAGUGUAACUCCAUCUAUGGCACAUGAGCUGAUAAAGGUAAUUACUUUCUAAUUUAUUAGGUUUAUUUUUUACUUUCUAUCAAGCUUGAAUUUAAUUGUCAUGCCAUUGCCUUUUAAUUUGGUAUUUCUGAAUCGAACCUCAUCCUGGUUGCUUUACUUGAUGCACAUCCUUUUCUAGUCAUUCUAUUCUUAUUAUCAGUGCUCAUUGCCUUUUCAUUUAUCUUUAACCCAGAGUCCACAAGUAACAUCUCCACUGUUGGCCUUCCAGGUUCUGAGAUCAGAGAACAUUGAAUUUGUUUUACUGAAACAGCAGAAAUACAAAAAAAGGAGGCAUACUUUUACCAAUAUACAUUCCUUUUCCAACCAUUUGUUGGACACGGACUUAAAUCUGAAGUGCAGAUUUCUCUAUCGUAACACGGUAGAAGUUGCAGGUCCUAGAGGCUUUGUAAACUCUUCACAAUUUUGGAGGCAUACAAUUGUCUUUCAUACUCUGCUUUAUUGUUUGAUGUAUUAUUCCGAUUACUGUGUGAUACACUACUGAUAUGUAGUGUGUUUUCACUUUAAUAAAAAUAUUAACUCAUUUGUAU
rnacentral:lncRNA from 1 species